rnacentral:rRNA from 1 species
GAUGAACGCCGGCGGUGUGCCUAAUACAUGCAAGUCGUACGCACUGGCCCAACUGAUUGAUGGUGCUUGCACCUGAUUGACGAUGGAUUACCAGUGAGUGGCGGACGGGUGAGUAACACGUAGGUAACCUGCCCCGGAGCGGGGGAUAACAUUUGGAAACAGAUGCUAAUACCGCAUAACAACAAAAGCCACAUGGCUUUUGUUUGAAAGAUGGCUUUGGCUAUCACUCUGGGAUGGACCUGCGGUGCAUUAGCUAGUUGGUAAGGUAACGGCUUACCAAGGCGAUGAUGCAUAGCCGAGUUGAGAGACUGAUCGGCCACAAUGGAACUGAGACACGGCCCAA